GACGAACGCUGGCGGCGUGCUUAACACAUGCAAGUCGAACGGAAAGGCCCUGCUUUUGUGGGGUGCUCGAGUGGCGAACGGGUGAGUAACACGUGAGUAACCUGCCCUUGACUUUGGGAUAACUUCAGGAAACUGGGGCUAAUACCGGAUAGGAGCUCCUGCUGCAUGUUGGGGGUUGGAAAGUUUCGGCGGUUGGGGAUGGACUCGCGGCUUAUCAGCUUGUUGGUGGGGUAGUGGCUUACCAAGGCUUUGACGGGUAGCCGGCCUGAGAGGGUGACCGGCCACAAUGGGACUGAGAGACGGCGCAGACUGCUACGGUAGGCAGCAGUGGGGAAUAUUGCACAAUGGGCGGAAGCCUGAUGCAGCAACGCCGCGUGCGGGAUGACGGCCUUCGGGUUGUAAACCGCUUUCGCAUGUGACGAAGCGUGAGUGACGGUAAUGGGUAAAGAAGCACCGGCUAACUACGUG
rnacentral:rRNA from 1 species